UGUUCUUAUUGUUUUCUAGAGAAUUGAUUUUGUGAAAUAACUGUUGAGCUUUACUGUGGUACCACUCAAUACUGCUCCAUAUAGUUGUUUUUAGAAUCUCAAUUUGAUAUAUUUAAUUUCAUACAAUUGAAUUUCAGUUUUAUUAUACAUUGUUAGAAAAACAAAAUAAUCGUAUUAUAGUUUGGCUAGGUAUUUUUUUUCCUUCUCUCAUGUAAUCCUCAAAAGAAUAGUACCUAAUUUGUUGGUAACACAUGUAUGAAUAAAAAAUGCAGUACUCAGGUUCAGUAUUGUUCUCUUUCAUCAAUUUUAUUUAGGAUGGAAUACAAAUUUUGCAGAAUAUGUGUGGUUCUAAUUUCCUCACUAUUCUCAAUUUUUUGUUUAUCUACUCAUCAGGAUAUAUGCAACCUAGCACCCAAGGGCAUUAGCCACAGGCUUGAGUUAUCACUGUACUUUAGAAAUCUUUUGGGGAAGCGGAGUAGAGAAUGUCUAUUCGUAUGUACGAAGCUGGAUUGUUGUUACUGAUUCGCUUCUUCGACGAGUUUGCUUCUGUGUAUGAAUAUUUUAUCAGGUUUGUCUUUUCCACCUUCCGAUUAACUUGGUCCUGGGAUAUAUGACAUAAGUAUUUACUUUUGCCCAGUUGUUUCUUUUACCUGGUGAAUUAUCUGUUUGACAGAAAUUUCAUCUAUAAAGGAAGAACAAAAUGAAUCCAGUUAAAUGCUUGAGGAUAGUGCAGACGAGCAAGAAAUUGAAUCAGUAACUAAAUUCUGAAGUGUUCAAUUAAAUUCUCCACUUUUUUGGGAUUUUGUGCUGCUUAGAGGCAUCCAUACCAUGUGUUCACCAAGGUGGUUUGACUAUAGAACUGUUGGAUCUUUGUUGCUGGUAUAUAAUGUAGCGUGCACAUAAGUGUUUAUUGACAAGUUCAGAAAUGAUCUAUCUUUCAGUGUUUUAACCUUCAAAAGCCAGUGGUAAAGCUACAUCUAGCACUUUUAAGUGCGAUGAAAUCUAAGAAGACCAUUAGCUCUCCAUACUUAGGAACUAGGUUUGAUAGUUGUUAUGACUUAUGUGUUAGAUUAUCACUGUAAUACUGAGGACAAAACAGUACCUUGUCAGAUAUUUAGGGACCUGACCACAUGGCAGAUGUUUUCACAUCAGAUAAUUGCGUUAUUAUAUUUCCUCUAAAAUCGUUUUCUUGCAUCAAUCCUCACCAACCACAGUGGGAAUGUGUUAGAUACGGAGCAGUCCAUGUAGGUCAUAAUUCCAAUUCUCAUCUCCAUUUGCUUUUAGUGGUGCAUGUUUGUAGUCUUCUGUUCAGUUUGCCCUUUACUAAACGCAUUUCUCAUCCUUUGAGUUUUCUACUGCAAAACGACAACGAACAUCCUUCCGCUGCUUUUUCGGUCAUAGAAUGCCAGUGGAUUGAUUUUUGUAGCUCCUAUUGUGGAGACCAUGUCUCUGCUUCACAGUGGAAGUUUGUACUGUGAUAUACGAGCCCGCAUCUAAAGAAACUGAGUAGUAUAGAUAUUGUGAAUAUGAUUAAGAAAGGACCCUUUCCAUUCUAGAUUUCUAUUCAAGUAAACGUGCUAGAUGGUUUAUUUCACAUGGUUGCAUGGUUACCUCUUAAUAAUAUGAAAAUAUCGGUGAGAGCUGCAAGAUCCGUUUUACCAAAACUCCAUGCAGACUAGAAAGAUAUGUGGUUUGGGAUGACUGCUUUGGAUUACGGUCUUGAUAUUUUAAAUGGUCUUGAUACUUUGAAUGACUUCUGCUUUUCGGAUUUAAUUCUCCCCAUAGUUACUACCCCAUCUAGAUUAUUUAAUUUAUCAUUCAGUUAUUAUUAGAUGAUUGAACGAAUAUAUGAUUUGACAGGCACAUAAAAGGACAUUCUAAAUUCCAGAGUACUGAUGUGUAUGUAAAGCUUCAGUUCUGUAUGGACUUUACGAUUUGAUAUACUAUUUCAAGUUUCUUACUACGAUAUAUUGUGCCUUUGGAGAAGAUUUGUGGUAUUUUCUUCUGGGAGUUUGGUAUGUCUUGUGCUAAUGCACAUGAAUUAUUUUCUGUUAUGACCGCUAGCCAUUGCUAGAAUAGAAGUGAAUAUGAUGUGUAAGAUUGUGCAAGAUCAUAAGUUUAUGGAGUUCUCCUCUGCGUUAAUUCCAUUUAGAAUCCCCAUGCUCGAGGUAGGCACACAAAAUAAGUAGUACUUCUACCUACUAUUAUGUCAGGUGUUCCCUUUGUACUAGAGAUGUGGUGCUUAUGUUUCAUUUUUUUUUGCAUCCCACUGCCAGGUUUCCAGCUUCAUUUAGCUACUUUCAUGCUUGGAUUUCCAUUAGCAUGCUGGUUUAGAAUGUCCUUUAUGUGCCUGUCAUCACUUUCAUGCUAGCAUGGAAAGUGCAUUAUGUGAAUCACCCUAAAGGACUGACUGAUGUUUUGAUAUGGUAAUUCUCACUAGAUAACUAUUGGCUCUGUCAUUUUUAUUCGUGAAAAUUGCGUUAGGAGCUGCUUUGCCCACAUACAAAUAAUAGGACACUACUUAAAUGGAUGUUCUUUUUCAAAGCGGAGGCAAAUAUUUGCCUCAGUGUAUUAAUUAAAGUAGUGUUGUUAGAGAAUCCCCUAGGAACAAUAAUAAGCGAUUAAACCGUAGUCUUAUGUCUGUGUUGCCCUGCCCGCGAUUGCCCACUUUAAUGGCGUGGGAGGUGCGGGUAAUCUAUUAUAAGCAAGGAUUUAAGCUUUCUUAUGGAAAAAUAGAUGAGAGAAACAUGUCAGUUUGAUUUUGUGCUAAUUUAUUUAGCUCUUCGUUCCCAUUGCAGGAGAAAAACGACUGGCCUAAGAAAAUUUCAGUCAUAGGUGCAACUAUUGUAUUUGAAUUAUUCAUAUAAUUCUGCCCAAGUUGUACUCAAUUUUUUUGUUCAUACAAUUGAUUCAUAAACCUGACUAUCUUGCAUAGUUGUCGGGUGUCGUUAUUGUGAAAACAAUUGAAUUCUACGCACCUAUCAUUGACGAUAACUUAGUGCUUCCUGACCUUUUGGAAGACAGCUGCAAUGAUCUUUGAUAACCAACAUAUUUGCGGUUCCCACUAGGUUUAAUCUGGAGCCAGCCGCUCUCAGUCAUCUCUAGGUGCAUGUCAGCCUAUUCACUGUUGUGGCACCUAUUAGUGUGUGCUGGCAGUCAAAUCUACACACUACAUCUCCACUAUUAUUUUUUUACAAAAGAGUAUGAUGUUGUAAGAAAACAUUUUUUUGUCUGUCAUAUAAAUUAUGAAGGAAACAUGUCAUUUACUCAUAGUUACUAGAAGAACCACUGCUUUUGGUAAAAAGAUAUUAACAAGUUCGCACUUGUCAAAACGAACCCUCCACAUCAUAUCACACAUGCGGUGACCUUGUUUGUUUGGUAUUUGAGUUUUGUGGAGAUCAAUGGGGCUAAGCCUCGCAGGGAUUGAGUGAAACCUCUCUACCUACAAACAAAAGGGCGGCAAGGAGUGGCCCAAGGAUGAAUAAGAGAGCUACUAAAAGCAAGGAACAAGGAAGAGAAAGAGACUAAUAACCCAUAGAAGCCGAGUAGCAACGAUCGCAUGAAUUAUGCUCAGGUACAUCGAGAUGAAGGAAAAGCAUUCUGCGAUAGAACAUGUUCUGUUGGUAGGUGAAAAGAAGGUUGCUCAAAGUGGAGAUUGCUCUAUCAAGAGAUGCAUAUCUAAAAUGAUGACAAUGGCACUGUCAACCGAUGAGAAGGUUGCAUGAGUUGAUGUAUUGCACGAUCCAGAUAACACAGAAAUUUUCUUGAGCUCAAAAGAAGAUGAUCCCAGUGGCUCUCAUUUGGUUAAGGAAGGCAAUGGGAAAGCCAUCACACGUGGUCUGAAGAAACCGCAGCUUAGUGGACAAUGCCAUUACCUACGCCCCUGAGUCUUCGCCAUCGAUUAUGAUGAGGGGCCAACCACAAACCCACAUCACCCAUCACCCAGUUCCCUGCAAGCAGUGACCCUACCCGGAUAAAACAAUGAUACUAGCCCCUUUGAUGAAGAACCGGUGACUUACGCGACGAGAAAAACCAGCAGAGAUCCACGGCGACCACACGAAACACGAGUACACCGGAAAGAAACAAGAGGAAAGGGUCCAUUCGACAACUCCACAAACAACGAUCUAGGUCUUGGGAUUCUACCUCGCCCCGACCUACAACAAAAUUUCGGAGCUAAUGCAGGCAUGGCGAUGGCGCUGCCCUUCCUCGCGACUAACACCAGCAAGCGUUACACGAAAUGCGCAACCGCUAGAGAACUACAGGCCACCACAGAAAUCCUAGCAGCUGACAUAGAGGAAGCGACCAACGUUAGCGUGCGCCAUACUAAGGAGUUAGGAGUCGACCGCCUCCUCCGUGGGACACCCUCUAAAGAAAACCUACCUAGCAU